UUAAGCGACUAAGCGUACACGGUGGAUGCCCUGGCAGUCAGAGGCGAUGAAGGGCGUGCUAAUCUGCGAUAAGCGCCGGUAAGGUGAUAUGAACCGUUAUAACCGGCGAUACCCGAAUGGGGAAACCCAGUGUGACUCGUCACACUAUCAUUAACUGAAUCCAUAGGUUAAUGAGGCGAACCGGGGGAACUGAAACAUCUAAGUACCCCGAGGAAAAGAAAUCAACCGAGAUUCCCCCAGUAGCGGCGAGCGAACGGGGAGGAGCCCAGAGCCUGAAUCAGCAUGUGUGUUAGUGGAAGCGUCUGGAAAGGCGCGCGAUACAGGGUGACAGCCCCGUACACAAAAGCGCAUGUGCUGUGAGCUCGAUGAGUAGGGCGGGACACGUGGUAUCCUGUCUGAAUAUGGGGGGACCAUCCUCCAAGGCUAAAUACUCCUGACUGACCGAUAGUGAACCAGUACCGUGAGGGAAAGGCGAAAAGAACCCCGGCGAGGGGAGUGAAAAAGAACCUGAAACCGUGUACGUACAAGCAGUGGGAGCACCCUUCGGGGUGUGACUGCGUACCUUUUGUAUAAUGGGUCAGCGACUUAUAUUCUGUAGCAAGGUUAACCGAAUAGGGGAGCCGUAGGGAAACCGAGUCUUAAUUGGGCGUUAAGUUGCAGGGUAUAGACCCGAAACCCGGUGAUCUAGCCAUGGGCAGGUUGAAGGUUGGGUAACACUAACUGGAGGACCGAACCGACUAAUGUUGAAAAAUUAGCGGAUGACCUGUGGCUGGGGGUGAAAGGCCAAUCAAACCGGGAGAUAGCUGGUUCUCCCCGAAAGCUAUUUAGGUAGCGCCUCGUGAAUUCAUCUCCGGGGGUAGAGCACUGUUUCGGCUAGGGGGCCAUCCCGGCUUACCAACCCGAUGCAAACUGCGAAUACCGGAGAAUGUUAUCACGGGAGACACACGGCGGGUGCUAACGUCCGUCGUGAAGAGGGAAACAACCCAGACCGCCAGCUAAGGUCCCAAAGUCAUGGUUAAGUGGGAAACGAUGUGGGAAGGCCCAGACAGCCAGGAUGUUGGCUUAGAAGCAGCCAUCAUUUAAAGAAAGCGUAAUAGCUCACUGGUCGAGUCGGCCUGCGCGGAAGAUGUAACGGGGCUAAACCAUGCACCGAAGCUGCGGCAGCGACACUGUGUGUUGUUGGGUAGGGGAGCGUUCUGUAAGCCUGUGAAGGUGGCCUGUGAGGGUUGCUGGAGGUAUCAGAAGUGCGAAUGCUGACAUAAGUAACGAUAAAGCGGGUGAAAAGCCCGCUCGCCGGAAGACCAAGGGUUCCUGUCCAACGUUAAUCGGGGCAGGGUGAGUCGACCCCUAAGGCGAGGCCGAAAGGCGUAGUCGAUGGGAAACGGGUUAAUAUUCCCGUACUUGGUGUUACUGCGAAGGGGGGACGGAGAAGGCUAUGUUGGCCGGGCGACGGUUGUCCCGGUUUAAGCGUGUAGGCUGGUUUUCCAGGCAAAUCCGGAAAAUCAAGGCUGAGGCGUGAUGACGAGGCACUACGGUGCUGAAGCAACAAAUGCCCUGCUUCCAGGAAAAGCCUCUAAGCAUCAGGUAACAUCAAAUCGUACCCCAAACCGACACAGGUGGUCAGGUAGAGAAUACCAAGGCGCUUGAGAGAACUCGGGUGAAGGAACUAGGCAAAAUGGUGCCGUAACUUCGGGAGAAGGCACGCUGACACGUAGGUGAAGUGAUUUACUCAUGGAGCUGAAGUCAGUCGAAGAUACCAGCUGGCUGCAACUGUUUAUUAAAAACACAGCACUGUGCAAACACGAAAGUGGACGUAUACGGUGUGACGCCUGCCCGGUGCCGGAAGGUUAAUUGAUGGGGUCAGCGCAAGCGAAGCUCCUGAUCGAAGCCCCGGUAAACGGCGGCCGUAACUAUAACGGUCCUAAGGUAGCGAAAUUCCUUGUCGGGUAAGUUCCGACCUGCACGAAUGGCGUAAUGAUGGCCAGGCUGUCUCCACCCGAGACUCAGUGAAAUUGAACUCGCUGUGAAGAUGCAGUGUACCCGCGGCAAGACGGAAAGACCCCGUGAACCUUUACUAUAGCUUGACACUGAACAUUGAGCCUUGAUGUGUAGGAUAGGUGGGAGGCUUUGAAGCGUGGACGCCAGUCUGCGUGGAGCCGACCUUGAAAUACCACCCUUUAAUGUUUGAUGUUCUAACGUGGACCCGUAAUCCGGGUUGCGGACAGUGUCUGGUGGGUAGUUUGACUGGGGCGGUCUCCUCCUAAAGAGUAACGGAGGAGCACGAAGGUUGGCUAAUCCUGGUCGGACAUCAGGAGGUUAGUGCAAUGGCAUAAGCCAGCUUGACUGCGAGCGUGACGGCGCGAGCAGGUGCGAAAGCAGGUCAUAGUGAUCCGGUGGUUCUGAAUGGAAGGGCCAUCGCUCAACGGAUAAAAGGUACUCCGGGGAUAACAGGCUGAUACCGCCCAAGAGUUCAUAUCGACGGCGGUGUUUGGCACCUCGAUGUCGGCUCAUCACAUCCUGGGGCUGAAGUAGGUCCCAAGGGUAUGGCUGUUCGCCAUUUAAAGUGGUACGCGAGCUGGGUUUAGAACGUCGUGAGACAGUUCGGUCCCUAUCUGCCGUGGGCGCUGGAGAACUGAGGGGGGCUGCUCCUAGUACGAGAGGACCGGAGUGGACGCAUCACUGGUGUUCGGGUUGUCAUGCCAAUGGCACUGCCCGGUAGCUAAAUGCGGAAGAGAUAAGUGCUGAAAGCAUCUAAGUACGAAACUUGCCCCGAGAUGAGUUCUCCCUGAGACUUAGAGUCUCCUGAAGGAACGUUGAAGACGACGACGUUGAUAGGCCGGGUGUGUAAGCGCAGCGAUGCGUUGAGCUAACCGGUACUAAUGAACCGUGAGGCUUAACCUU
rnacentral:rRNA from 1 species